AGGUAGGCCCAGCCCAUAAUAAAAGAAGCUGCUUUGCCCUUCCUUGUUCUCUUGCUCUUACUCUCUUACUCUCUUGCCUCUCUCUCUUGCCUUCUUGCUCCCCCUCUUCACAUUCUCUUCCCCACUCUCGACACAUGGCCAUACAGGCCUUUAUUUUUCUACGCUCUCCCUCUCUCUGCCUUUCAACAAUAAACACUUUAAAACCAUGAAUUUCCUCUUCUCAUCUGGACCCUCCAUGCUGGAGUAGUGGAGCAGGUUCACCUCUAAAGAGCCUCACAUCUAAUCUUCAGCGGGAGGCCACUCUGUGUUCCCAUACAGGACUUUUGCCAAACCAAGCCUCCCACUGAGCAAGUCAAUGACUCUCCUCCCUGCAGUAACCUCUCCUCCUGCCCUGGGCUAGAUUCUGCCCGUGGGUCCCUGCUCCAUUCUCAGCUCUUCAGCAACAUCCAGUGGUAUCUGCAGUAUCUAAGACUGAGAUCCUGAUGACCCUGGGCUCUGUGCAGCCCAGGGACCCCAGAACUGGCUCUUCCACAGCAUCCAGCAGGUGCCUGAGAGUCUAAGACUAACUCCAGCAGUAUUUAUUCUACAAGGUCUCCUUGUUCCCUUGUGUAUAUGAAGAUGCCCAUUCUCAAUUGCUUUAGACAUCAAUUUUCUCCUUGGAGUGCUGGUGUGAUAGCAAAGCCUCUCAAUAAAAUGCAUUAAAAGUACCUCCAAGUAGCAACAAUAGAAGAGGAGGCUUCCUCUUGCUCCAAAGCACUUUCCUACUGCGUUUUCAAGCUCACAUUCAAAGAGCAAGAGCGAGACUCACUGACAUUUGCUCUGCAUCCUGUAGGUCAACCUAUAUCUGGAGAAGUCCUAGUGAUCUUCUCAUUCACAUAAAUGAGACUCUUAUUAACUGGUCAUGACCUGCUCUCAGCAUCUGCAAGCUUCGCAGCUGCGCAGCAGUUUUUCUGGUAUCAAGGGAAGACAUUAUGUGCUGGCAAGCUUUACCACCAUCUUUAAGAUUUUUUUUUUCCUCUAUAAAAAAAGACUAUCAUUCUAGGCCCAAAAGCAGGAGUAAGGGGACAAGUAGUGGCAAUAUUUUUCAAAAUAUGAUCUUUCAUUGGGAACUCUUUCAUGGGCUCAGAGUUAGUUACUACAUCUUGUAUUUGCUAUCUUUUUUUUUUUUUACUAUCAUUAGAUUUUUAUUUCUCUAUUAGCAAUAUUUAUUAGCUAAUAUUUUCAUGUAUUUAUUUCAUAGAAAUUAAUAAAAGGUUGAUUGUCCUGACUGGA
rnacentral:lncRNA from 1 species